GCCGAUAUAGCUCAGCGGUAGAGCGCUUCCUUGGUAAGGAAGAGGUCACGGGUUCAAGUCCCGUUAUUGGCU
rnacentral:tRNA from 1 species